UAGUAGCAAAACAAAGCACGAAGUGUAUGAGACUGCGACGCUCGAGCUCGAGUCAAGUUUAAAACGUAUGCGGUUGCAGCUGAAAGCGAACGAAAAAAACCAAUAAGAUAAAAAACAAUAAAUAGCAACAAAUACUAAAAUAAAAUACAUAGUAAAUAUUUGUAUUGUAGCAAAAAAAAAAAGAAAUUACAACAACAAAAAGUGUUCGGUCUAAGGCGAAAAAGUGAGUGCGUGCGCGUAGUAGCGUUUUGAUCUGGCCAAACGUAGCGCCCGAUCAAAUCACUGUAGCGUAGCGUAACGUAACCAACGACCAAUCGAUCGAUCGAUACGAGACGGACACGAAAGGCCGGACACACGGAGCCUUGGCUAGCUGCGAAGAAAGUACGGCCGAAUAGUUGACGACGCGCGACAAGCGAGUUUAAAAUUAUGAACGCGGAAGAUUUCGGUGGAAAUUGAAAGAAAUUGAAGAAAAGUUGAUAUAUAUGAUUUUAACCUCCACGAUAUCCCAAAUAAAGUUUAACUAAAAAAUUUUGUGAUUUUUAAUUUUUUGUGCUCACCUGUUUAUAUGAAAAAUACAAAUUUUUCAGUGUUAAAAUAAUUAUUAUCAACGAAAUGAUUUGUGCGCUGCUAAAUAUGUAAUAAUGGAUGUGAUUUUCAUUAUAUCCUAUAUAUGGAAAUUAUUGUCACUACAGCCGAAGGAAUUGUGGAUUUUAACUAAUUUGCAAGUGUGUUAAAUUGUGUGUGAAUACCCUUUGCGGUGGUUGGCUGUAGUCGAAGUGCAGUAGAGCAGCAGCAGCAGCAGAAAAUUUACAACAACAACAGCAACAAAUAGUAUAAAAUAUAUGCUUAUUAUUAAUUAUAAAUAUCACUACACGAAUAAACAAGCGUAUGCAAGUGUAGUCCAAACAUACAUACAAACAUAUGUAGUAUGUCAGGCUGUGUGCGCGUGUGUUAGUGAUAAAUGAAUGGAGCAAUAAAUUUAAAAGUUCAAUUGAUUUCACAUUCAGCAACAACGGCGGUUGUCACCAUUUAGCCACGCUGUCAAGCUGUCAACAUUGCCAAGUGCCUGAAUGUUUUCAUACAUAUAUGUACAUAUGUAUGUUUGUUUGUACAUAUGUAUGUGUAUAGUGUUUGUGUAAUUGCGCGCGAAGUGUCAAAGUGCCACUGACAGGGGUCAUUGUUGGGUGACUCAGCAGUAAAUUAAGCAAAUUCACAAGAAAAA